AAAGGAAUUGACGGGGGCCCGCACAAGCGGAGGAACAUGCGGUUUAAUUCGAUGAUACGCGAGGAACCUUACCCGGGCUUGAACUGCGGCGGAACGAUUCCGAGAGGAUGAGGCCCUUCGGGGCUGCCGCGGAGGUGCUGCAUGGUUGUCGUCAGCUCGUGCCGUGAGGUGUCGGCUUAAGUGCCAUAACGAGCGCAACCCCCGUCUUCAGUUGCCAUCGGGUUAUGCCGGGCACUCUGGAGAUACUGCCACCGCAAGGUGUGAGGAAGGUGGGGACGACGUCAAAUCAGCACGGCCCUUACGUCCGGGGCUACACACGUGUUACAAUGGCGCAUACAGAGAGUAGGUGGCAUGCGAGUGCCAUCCAAUCCUUAAAGUGCGUCUCAGUUCGGACUGGGGUCUGCAACCCGACCCCACGAAGCUGGAUUCGCUAGUAAUCGCGCAUCAGCCAUGGCGCGGUGAAUACGUUCCCGGGCCUUGUACACACCGCCCGUCAAGCCAUGAAAGCCGGGGGCGCCUGAAGUCCGUGACCGCGAGGGUCGGCCUAGGGAAAGCCCCGUUGGU
rnacentral:rRNA from 1 species